UAGAAAUGUCAUACUGACAAGUGGUUAAUCAUCAGGGCCUGUUGCAAUCUAAACACUUUUGAAGUCAUCCCAGAGAACAUGGUGAUCUACGGUGCUGACUGCCUCUUUCGGGUGCAGACCGAGCGACCACAGCCCCAGAAACUGCAGCUGGAUUUUUUGAUGAAAAUCUUGCCAAAUUACCACCACCUAAAGAAGACUAUGAAAGGAAGCUCAACUCCGGUCAAGAACUGAGACAAUGUGCGUCAUCCAUGUGUCCAUCUUGGACAGCUCCGUCUAGAAGGAACCACAGUCUCUAGACACUCUUAAUGGCUCACAGAAUAAUACCUGUUGACUUCAUUUUGUAGAAUCGAGUCAGAAAUGAAACGAAUGGAUUUUUGUUUUAACUGUUGUCUAUAAUUUAUAUGAAGUGUUUUAUUUUCCUAUAUCCUUGCUGCUUUUUGUAUAAUUUACAUAUUUAGUUAUCUCUUUGCUAUAUAAAAUGUUGACCACAAAUUUUGGUUAUGUGAAAGACUACCCCAUGGUAUAAAAAAAAAAGGAGGGGAGGGGGUGGAGGGUAUUUAACUCUAGCCUAGCUUACACUAAACUGAAUCAAACAUGCUGAGGGCAAGACUUGCAGGAGAAUAGUUUUGCUACUCAUUACUAUAACCAAAAGUCUCUGUCUUCAUUUUCAUUGUGAGCUGACUAUGAAAACUACUGUGUUUACCUUUUUCUCUUGUGGAUGUGUAACUGUUUAAUGGGAAGUUUUAUCAGCUAUUAAUUUAGACUUUUUUUUAAAACGUUUUUUUUUUCUUCUUAGUAAAAUGAAAGUAAUCAAGGAAAGCCACCUUCACUAAGAUAAAAAUUCAAAAAGAAUGACUUCUGACCAAAAGGACAAGUCUGUAGGGAGUACCCUGGAAACUGUGGGGGCAGCUCCAUGAACUAUCUGAAUGCAUGGACAGAGGUGGUCUGCAGAGCACAGAGGGCUGGAGCAGCUGUGCAGAGCCAUGCAAAGUGGCUCGUCAGG